rnacentral:rRNA from 1 species
UACGUAGGGUGCGAGCGUUGUCCGGAAUUACUGGGCGUAAAGAGCUCGUAGGUGGUUUGUCGCGUUGUUCGUGAAAACUCACAGCUUAACUGUGGGCGUGCGGGCGAUACGGGCAGACUGGAGUACUGCAGGGGAGACUGGGAAUUCCUGGUGUAGCGGUGGAAUGCGCAGAUAUCAGGAGGAACACCCGGUGGCGAAGGCGGGGUCUCUGGGGCAGUAACUGACGCUGGAGGAGCGAA